rnacentral:rRNA from 1 species
GAUGAACGCUAGCGGCAGGCUUAAUACAUGCAAGUCGAACGGGAGAGAGUUAGCAAUAACUUUCGAGAGUGGCGCACGGGUGCGUAACGCGUAUGCAACCUACCUUUAACAGGGGGAUAGCCCGGAGAAAUUCGGAUUAAUACCCCAUAGUAUUUAUUUAAGGCAUCUUAGAUAGAUUAAAGCUGAGGCGGUUAAAGAUGGGCAUGCGUGCCAUUAGCUAGUUGGUGAGGUAACGGCUCACCAAGGCGACGAUGGCUAGGGGUUCUGAGAGGAUUAUCCCCCACACUGGUACUGAGACACGGACCAGACUCCUACGGGUGGCAG